rnacentral:rRNA from 1 species
GGGGGCAAGUAGAGUGGCGCACGGGUGAGUAACACGUAGGUAAUCUACCUUUGGAUGGGGAAUAACAAUCGGAAACGAUUGCUAAUACCGCAUAAUGCAGCGGCACCUAAUGGUGACAGUUGUUAAAGCGGGGGAUCGAAAGACCUCGCGUCUGAAGAGGAGCCUGCGGCGGAUUAGCUAGUUGGUAAGGUAAUGGCUUACCAAGGCUACGAUCCGUAACCGGCCUGAGAGGGCGGUCGGUCACACUGACACUGACAUACGGGUCAGACUCCUACGGGAGGCAGCAGUCGGGAAUUUUGGGCAAUGGGCGAAAGCCUGACCCAGCAACGCCGCGUGAAGGAUGAAAUCCCUCGGGAUGUAAACUUCGCAAGAACGGGAAGAAUAAGUAGGGGCUAAUACCCCCUAUGAUGACGGUACCGUUUGUAAGCUCCGGCUAACUCCGUGCCAGCAGCCGCGGUAAUACGGGGGGAGCAAGCGUUGUUCGGAUUUACUGGGCGUAAAGGGCGCGUAGGCGGCCAGCACAAGUCAGUUGUGAAAUCUCCGAGCUUAACUCGGAACGGUCAACUGAUACUGUGCGGCUAGAGUGCAGAAGGGGCAACUGGAAUUCUUGGUGUAGCGGUGAAAUGCGUAGAUAUCAAGAGGAACACCUGCGGCGAAGGCGGGUUGCUGGGCUGACACUGACGCUGAGGCGCGAAAGCUAGGGGAGCGAA